UUUAACCUUAAUCCAGGCGAUGAUUUCCUGCCCGGUUCUGAACUAAUAACGGGUGUGCAGCUUCUUUAGGAGAUGGAAAUAAUGACAGGCUAUGGAUCCUGCCUUUAUUGGGGUGGUGCUGGCAGCCUGGCUCCCAGUCCCUGCUCCAUCAGCAUCCCCAUGCAGAUCCUAUUCCCUGCUCUAUUUUAAAACUUUUGCACACCCUAUCCCCCCACCCCAUCAGUUUAAGAGCAAGCAGAGCCAAAAUAUCCUCACAAACCCUAGCUCCUUCCUUCUGUGUAGCUCCCAGUACUGUGGCUUGGAGAUGGUUUUGAGGGCAGUUCUCUGAGUGCUGGUUUCUCCUCUUUUCCUCAGGUUUUCCUACAUGGAAAUGCUGCAAGUUGAGAUGAGGGUGGCCUGAUCCUGAUGCAGACCUACCUGGUUAAAGCCACAGGAGAAGCAGUCCUGCCCCCAGCUCCUCGGCGGGGUUUGUAAGAGCAAGAGUGGUAAACUUGAGCAAUCCUUGUCACAUGGAGGGCCGAGCUCUGAGCCCAGUGGCCAAAACUGCCACUGCUUUGGCCAUCAGGGUGGUGGCAAUGCCAGCAAAUUGUUUGCAAAAGGACAAGGUUGCUCUGAUGGCUGUGGGGGCUGGUGCUGAGGCUCAGGGCAGCAAAAUCCAUCUUUGCAGCUCAUCUACACCAAUGACUCUGCUGGGCUGGCUCUCUGUGUAUAAACCUCUUUCCUUACCAAGCAGGGAAAGGGCAGGAGUGGUGGAGCCCAGGGAAAAGAGAACAAAUCCAACCACAGCACAGCCUUGGAUAUCUGCUAUUGGGGCAGCCAUGCUGCCCCUUUCUGACUCCAGAUUAUUUAGCAGUUGACUUUGGUGUUCGGAGUGUUGCAUAUCAAUCCCCGGGACCAAAAUAUGCCACUCAUGUUUUUCCUGCUAUGUAAUCUAUGGAUGCAGCACCUAACCCUGCAGUCCUCCUCUGUGCUUCAGAGAGAAGGGAGAUGUGCUGAAUCAAGUUGUUGAGGCUGUACUUGGAGCUGAAGAAAACAUGAGAAAACCAAGACACCACCUUUGCUCUCGUCCAGCUUGGCCGCUGCCGUGAUACGGCAACACGACAACUGCUUUGGGAUAGCUUUGAAAAAUUCCAACAAAUUAUUUGAGCAAGAUUUCCUGCCCAUAAAUCCAGAAUGUUUACUGUCUCUCCCAGAUUUCUGUUCCCAUCUGCAGAUCUUUCUGUUACAAUGAUGAACCUGGCAAUUUCUGGUAAAUACAAGACUACUAAUUUUAUCUUGUCUUGGCCUUGAGUGAAAUCCUAUACUUCCUUGUUCCUGAAUAAAAAAUGCACCAUAAAUGAAUUGUACAGGGAGCACUGAAGGGCUGCUGAUGACCUAUAGUUAUGUACAUUGUGUAACUCAUCCUGUUACCCAAUUAGGAUGAUCAGAACUUUUCUUUCUGCUGCUGAAAACCUGAGUGUG